UACGUAGGGUGCAAGCGUUGUCCGGAAUUAUUGGGCGUAAAGAGCUCGUAGGCGGUCUGUCGCGUCUGCUGUGAAAACUCAGGGCUUAACCCUGAGCUUGCAGUGGGUACGGGCAGACUAGAGUGCGGUAGGGGAGACUGGAAUUCCUGGUGUAGCGGUGAAAUGCGCAGAUAUCAGGAGGAACACCGGUGGCGAAGGCGGCUUUCUGGACAGAAACUGACGCUGAGGCGCGAAAGCUAGGGGAGCAAACAGG
rnacentral:rRNA from 1 species